rnacentral:lncRNA from 1 species
UUGACUACAGCCAAGAGCAGGAUUUCUUGUCCUUAGUGAUUUGAGUGACAAAAAUUUCCAAGGACCCAUGAAUGAAGAAGAGAGAAGCAGAGGGAAAGAGAGAAACUGAUUGAAAAGAUGCAGUCAAAACGGGCGUUAGGAAAAAGAAGGAGGUAAAAGAGGCCAAAAGGCUAAGGAAGAAGAGAAAGCAUGCAGGAAUGAGACACUUUACUAAAGAAACCCAGUUCCUGAGUUUUUUUCCGAUUCAGAAAGGAAUGGGAUGGAAAGCAAAGGUGGAUGUAUCAUCAAUCUAAUUUUGCGGAAAGGAACUGACUUCUUCCAAGAGGGAGGAGGAGGGGCACAGAGCAAUGCAUUCUGGAGCAGAAGCUGCCAGUGCUGGUCCCAGAAGUAACAACCCAGAUCCUGAAGGCAUCUUUCCUGGAAGUUUUCCUAAAAGAUGAUCCAAACACCUAACUAACUAUACUGAUUUACAACAGCACCAACAACAUCAACAACAAACCUAAGGCCCAGAGGCACAAUGUUUGGACCAGCCCAGGAUCCCUCACUCACAAGAACUUCUAUCGGACUUAGCUUAUCCCUCAGAAGACCCUGGACACCACCAAAGGUCAUCAGCACAAUCUUGAUGGAUGUCUAAGAAUUGAAGAUUGAUUUUUGCCUAAUGACAAUAAAGUCAUCA